rnacentral:rRNA from 1 species
ACACGUAGGGGCCUGACGUUGUUCGGAAUCAUUGGGCGUAAAGGGCGCGCAGGCGGCCGUCUAAGUCCGGUGUUAAAUGGUCGGGCUCAACCCGAUCAUGCGCUGGAAACUGGGCGGCUUGAGUCCCGUAGGGGAUGCCGGAAUUCCAGGUGUAGGGGUGAAAUCUGUAGAUAUCUGGAAGAACACCGAUGGCGAAGGCAGGCAUCUGGCCGGAGACUGACGCUGAGGCGCGAAGGCGCGGGGAGCGAACAGGUUUAGAUACCCUGGUAGUCCGCGCAGUAAACGAUGCGCACCAGGUGUCGGGCGGCAGCGCCCGGUACCGGAGCUAACGCGAUGAGUGCGCCGCCUGGGGAGUAUGCCCGCAAGGGUGAAACUCAAAGGAAUUGACGGGG